CAGUCAGCACACUUCACUUUCGGCUCCACUCACCACUCUCCACUCUCCAAGUCUCCAUCCUCCAUCCUCCAUUCCCCCUCUAGUCCUCUUCAAUCUUCAGCACUUCAGCAGGCAGCCCGGCAGCAACCACAGCGAUCGUCGGCGCCCAGACCUCAGACGUCACCAUCGCCGUAACGCCCAGACAGCAACAACCACACGCCCAGACCUCUGCAGCAGCCACCAUCACCAGUUCACCAGAACCGCCGAGGCCACCAGUCCAACACUCCAACCCCGCCGAAGCCACCUUCACCACCACCGUACCCUCUCUCUCUCUCUCACCACCACCGCCGAAGCCACCAGUCCACCACCGACGAAGCCACCAGUACCCCCCUCUCUCUCCCUCUCUCAAUUAAAAAAAAAACAUUUCUCUCUAUUUUUUUUUUGCUAUUCAUUUUUUUCUUAAUUAGUGACUAAUCCUAGUGUUUAAUCCUAAGUAUUCAUUGGUAGUGUUCAUUAAUUUUAACUUCUUGUGAUUUUUUAUAGUAGCAAUUUGUUUUGCAAGUAAAUCCUAGUGUUUAAUCCUAAGUUGUACAGGUGUUGUACCUCUUAACUUGCUAUCUAUGCUUGCUAUAUAUUUGAUAUAUUCAUUACAUUUUUUUGGAGUGUGAACUAUGGAUCUCUUAAAACUUGAUGGAUGCCUACAGGAAAUAUUUGCAGGAGAGACAUAAUUGAGGACCCUCAAUUCUGUGAUAUCUACAAGCACUAGCGAGCAUCUGAGGAUCCACAAAACUCAAGUCGAAAUUGUGGAUUUUCAUUUGUUGCGGAAUCUACAUCUUAUGUUGAAUUUACUUUUUAUGUUUUUGGCUUGUAAGGUUAACAAGUAGUUUCUGUGUAUUUUUUAAUCGUGUUUUCGUUAGUUUUAUUAUAGUUAUGUUGUUUAUUUCAA